rnacentral:lncRNA from 1 species
UCCCGGUGUGAGCUGCUUUCGAGGAGUCCAGGAGGCUUUACCCGGCCUCGGAUGUCUGGCUUUUCAUGCUGGGGUCUCCUUGGCCGGGGUCCUUUAAAGUUUUGGCAACUUUGGGGACAAGGACUCGUUGGCGCUAAGAAGAAGCAUACUAGGACCCGUACACAGAGAGGUCUUUUGCUGCCUAUUCAGCCGGUAAUACCAGCUGCGAUGAGAAAAUCAUGACAACCUCUCCAAGUCCAACAAGGCCCAACAGAAAGUUAUUUUCGGAAAGGAUUACAGGAAGAACGAUUUUGCGUAUCUCAGACGAAGAAAUUGAAGAGAACAUUAUUCUAGUUGCCUAAGGCUGCUUUACAUUCACAUUACUCAAUCUCCUCUUACUUGAAACAAUUUUAAAAAUCUCACUGAAGCUAAGCGAGGGUAUGGACUGCACAGGAGUUCGAAGGAACACAAGGAAUUGGGUCAGUGAGCAUCAAUCUAGAAUUUAGGAAGGAAACCAUUUUAUUCCCCCUAAAUCCACAGUGAAGGAAGAAAAACAAACAUCCCAGAGUUUUAAAACACGUCCCAAAGAUUGGAGAAUGUUUCGUCUUUUCUCUAUGUCUGAAAAGUUGUCAUUUACAGGAGGGUGGUACUUCUCAAUCGCAUGAGAUUGCCUCUUGUUUCUACGCUGAAGCGGAAAGUAAAACACAGCUAAAUUUGAUCCCCUUUACUCUCCCAGCCAUUCAAACCACCAGCACAUUAUCAAGGUUGAAGAAGUUAGAUUUAGAUUCAGAGUCUUGGGAAUGGGCUACAGGUUGAGAAAAUUAUCUUUCCUUCCCUCUGGAGUCCUCUUCCUCAAGAAGAGACUGAAAAACAAACAGAUGUCCCUGAAUUUGGGCCCGAAGCCCCCAGUGAGAUAAACUGUUCCCAGUUGCGUGGAAUUGGCUUUUAACUCCUUAACUGGGCAGAGGGAGUAUCAAAACUUCUCUUUGAAAAGAAUUUCACUUUAUGAUCGAUUAAUGGCCAUUUAUUGAACUGCUAGGAAAGAGCUAUAUGAAAGUAAAUUGCACCAAAAUUUCUUUUUUAAUAUCCUAGUUCUAUUCUGCAAUUCUAACAGCAUCUAUACUGUGAAAAUAAAGACACCUUUAGUCUUGAAGUUAAUAAGUGAAAUUAAAUUACUUUAGCACAAGUAAAUGUUUCAAGAUAGCAACUCAAUGAAAUACCUGUUUUCUCUUCAGAAAGGUUUACCUCUCACUUUCGUAAACUAGCUGAUUUCAUUAUCUCUGAAUCUAUCUGUCACUUGUGUCGUCUUAUUCUGAAAACCGCAAAGACACUGCUUAGCAAGGAUACUUGAAUAGAACUGAUUUGGAGAACUGACUUGCAGCCAGCCAGGCCCUUCGUUGCCAGUGGUUUAUUUAAAUCAUGAGUUGGCAUUUCAUGUUGCCAACCGAGGGGGAUAAACACAAUGGUAACCUCACAGAUUUUCCCCCACAAACUCAUUUUUUUCAUGUUUUACUGACAGGAGUUGUGUUUGGAUUUGGGAGAGUAGCUGAGAAGAUUUUGUGGAUUCAAGCUGUUAACAAUAUUAGUUAAAAACAUUUCUGUAAAAGCCAGGGUUUUCAGGCAUGAUCUGUUAGUUAGGAAUAAUACUGUAGUAAUGGACUGAAUGGUGAUUUAAUUUUAAAGAAAAAAAGGGGGAAAUAGAGAAAUCCAUGCAUCCUGAAACCUCACUAAAAAGCUAAGUGGGGAGGAAUUACAGUUUGACUUAGUGAAAAAAAUAAGUAAAAGAUGGUUCAGUUAUUUUCAUACAAACUUUGAGUAGCUCUUAACAGUGCUUCCAGGUAAAAAUCUUCUAUAGUCAGUUCAAAUGAAUAGAUAAAGUUACUUUUAUUGACAUAUAGAGGAUUAUUAAAAGAAUGUUGAACUUUU